rnacentral:rRNA from 1 species
AGGACGGACGCUGCGGCGUGCUUUAACACAUGCAAGUCGAACGAUGAAGCCCAGCUUGCUGGGUGGAUUAGUGGCGAACGGGUGAGUAACACGUGGGUGAUCUGCCCCUGCACUUCGGGAUAAGCCUGGGAAACUGGGUCUAAUACCGGAUAGGACCUCGGGAUGCAUGUUCCGGGGUGGAAAGGUUUUCCGGUGCAGGAUGGGCCCGCGGCCUAUCAGCUUGUUGGUGGGGUAACGGCCCACCAAGGCGACGACGGGUAGCCGGCCUGAGAGGGCGACCGGCCACACUGGGACUGAGACACGGCCCAGACUCCUACGGGAGGCAGCAGUGGGGAAUAUUGCACAAUGGGCGCAAGCCUGAUGCAGCGACGCCGCGUGAGGGAUGACGGCCUUCGGGANUGUAAACCUCUUUCAGUACCGACGAAGCGCAAAGACGUAGUACAGAC